rnacentral:rRNA from 1 species
CCUACGGGCGGCAGCAGUGGGGAAUAUUGCACAAUGGGCGCAAGCCUGAUGCAGCCAUGCCGCGUGUGUGAAGAAGGCCUUCGGGUUGUAAAGCACUUUCAGCGGGGAGGAAGGCGGUGAGGUUAAUAACCUCAUCGAUUGACGUUACCCGCAGAAGAAGCACCGGCUAACUCCGUGCCAGCAGCCGCGGUAAUACGGAGGGUGCAAGCGUUAAUCGGAAUUACUGGGCGUAAAGCGCACGCAGGCGGUCUGUCAAGUCGGAUGUGAAAUCCCCGGGCUCAACCUGGGAACUGCAUUCGAAACUGGCAGGCUAGAGUCUUGUAGAGGGGGGUAGAAUUCCAGGUGUAGCGGUGAAAUGCGUAGAGAUCUGGAGGAAUUCCGGUGGCGAAGGCGGCCCCCUGGACAAAGACUGACGCUCAGGUGCGAAAGCGUGGGGAGCAAACAGGAUUAGAUACCCGUGUAGUC